rnacentral:rRNA from 1 species
UACGGGGGGGGCAAGCGUUGUCCGGAUUGACUGGGCGUAAAGCGCACGCAGGCGGACGCGCGCGUGGGGUGUGAAAUCUGGCCGCUUAACGGCCAGGCGCCAUCCCAUACGGCGCGUCUGGAGUGAUGCAGAGGUCGGUGGAAUUGCCGGUGUAGUGGUGAAAUGCGUAGAGAUCGGCAGGAACACCCAGGGGGAAACCAGCCGACUGGGCAUCUACUGACGCUGAGGUGCGAGAGCGUGGGGAGCGAACCGG